rnacentral:rRNA from 1 species
UACAGGGGUCUCAAGCGUUGUUCGGAUUCAUUGGGCGUAAAGGGUGCGUAGGUGGCGCCGUAAGUGGGGUGUGAAAUCUCGGGGCUUAACUCCGAAACUGCAUUCCAUACUGCGGUGCUCGAGGACUGGAGAGGAGACUGGAAUUUACGGUGUAGCAGUGAAAUGCGUAGAUAUCGAGAGGAACACCAGUGGCGAAGGCGAGUCUCUGGACGACUCCUGACACUGAGGCACGAAAGCUAGGGGAGCAAACAGG